rnacentral:rRNA from 1 species
UCUCAGUUCGGAUUGGAGCUGNAACCCGACUCCAUGAAGCUGGAUUCGCUAGUAAUCGCGCAUCAGCCACGGCGCGGUGAAUACGUUCCCGGGCCUUGUACACACCGCCCGUCAAGCCAUGGAAGCCGGGAGUGCCUGAAGUGCGUGAGCGCAAGCAGCGCCCUAAGGUAAAACCGGUGACUGGGGCUAAGUCGUAACAAGGUAAC